rnacentral:piRNA from 1 species
UGAAGCUAAAUUCACAGCAUGUGUUUACUA